rnacentral:rRNA from 1 species
CUUAGGAAUCUACCUAGUAGUGGGGGAUAGCACGGGGAAACUCGUAUUAAUACCGCAUACGACCUACGGGAGAAAGGGGGCAGUUUACUGCUCUCGCUAUUAGAUGAGCCUAAGUCGGAUUAGCUAGAUGGUGGGGUAAAGGCCUACCAUGGCGACGAUCUGUAGCUGGUCUGAGAGGAUGAUCAGCCACACCGGGACUGAGACACGGCCCGGACUCCUACGGGAGGCAGCAGUGGGGAAUAUUGGACAAUGGGGGAAACCCUGAUCCAGCCAUGCCGCGUGUGUGAAGAAGGCCUUUUGGUUGUAAAGCACUUUAAGCAGUGAAGAAGACUCUUCGGUUAAUACCCGGAGACGAUGACAUUAGCUGCAGAAUAAGCACCGGCUAACUCUGUGCCAGCAGCCGCGGUAAUACAGAGGGUGCAAGCGUUAAUCGGAAUUACUGGGCGUAAAGGGAGCGUAGGUGGCUCUAUAAGUCAGAUGUGAAAUCCCCGGGCUUAACCUGGGAACUGCAUCUGAAACUGUAGAGCUAGAGUAUGUGAGAGGGAGGUAGAAUUUCAGGUGUAGCGGUGAAAUGCGUAGAGAUCUGAAGGAAUACCGAUGGCGAAGGCAGCCUCCUGGCAUAAUACUGACACUGAGGCUCGAAAGCGUGGGUAGCAAACAGGAUUAGAUACCCUGGUAGUCCACGCCGUAAACGAUGUCUACUAGUCGUUGGGUCCCUUGAGGACUUAGUGACGCAGCUAACGCAAUAAGUAGACCGCCUGGGGAGUACGGCCGCAAGGUUAAAACUCAAAUGAAUUGACGGGGGCCCGCACAAGCGGUGGAGCAUGUGGUUUAAUUCGAUGCAACGCGAAGAACCUUACCUGGUCUUGACAUAUCUAGAAUCCUGCAGAG